AUCUACCCCCAUGACCCCUCCUAGAUGGCUACAUUGACUUCAGGUGGAGAGAAGCCAAACAAAGACUUGGAGAGCUGCAGUGAUGACGACAACCAGGGGCCCAAGUCCCCAAAGAUGUGAGACUUCAUUUUAGCUCUUGGGGAACGUGGGAAGAGAUGUCCUCAGAUGGCAAGAGAAAGGGCUAAAUCUAAUGCUUGACUGGGGGCUUCUUGGGGGUGGGUGGAACUGUGUUGUACUAAUCUUUGUAUCCCUAGUACCUCAAAAAGUGCCAGGUCCUGAACAAGAACUCAGUGUUGAAGGAAUGUUUUAGAAGGAGGAGAGGUCCAGCCUUUCCACCAGGUCUGUUUGUAACUGCUGAUCUCCCCUAACAGUCUGACUGAUGAGAUGCUGCUCCAAGCCUGUGAGGGGCGAACAGCACACAAGGCUGCCCGUCUUGGGAUCACAAUGAAGGCCAAGCUUGCUCGCCUAGAGGCCCAGGAGCAGGCCUUCCUGGCUCGUCUCAAAGGCCAGGACCCUGGGGCCCCUCAACUGCAGUCAGAGAGCAAGCCCCCC
rnacentral:sRNA from 1 species